rnacentral:rRNA from 1 species
CCUACGGGAGGCAGCAGUGGGGAAUAUUGGACAAUGGGGGCAACCCUGAUCCAGCCAUGCCGCGUGUGUGAAGAAGGCCCUCGGGUUGUAAAGCACUUUCAGUGAGGAAGAACGCCUGGUGGUUAAUACCCAUCAGGAAAGACAUCACUCACAGAAGAAGCACCGGCUAACUCCGUGCCAGCAGCCGCGGUAAUACGGAGGGUGCGAGCGUUAAUCGGAAUUACUGGGCGUAAAGCGCGCGUAGGUGGCUGGAUAAGCCGGUUGUGAAAGCCCCGGGCUCAACCUGGGAACGGCAUCCGGAACUGUCAAGCUAGAGUGCAGGAGAGGAAGGUAGAAUUCCCGGUGUAGCGGUGAAAUGCGUAGAGAUCGGGAGGAAUACCAGUGGCGAAGGCGGCCUUCUGGACUGACACUGACACUGAGGUGCGAAAGCGUGGGUAGCAAACAGGAUUAGAUACCCCAGUAGUC